UAUGGGUAUCCACUCAGGAUCAGUCUGAAACUAUCCUCUUUGGUGUUGAUCUUUUUUCUUUAAUAAUAAUCACCCUACGAAGCUGAACAAAGCCUGGAUCGUGAUCAACUCUUUGAUCCUUUCUUUUUUUAUAGAUCUACUGUGGGGAAAUUCAGUGCAGGAGUAAAAUGAUAAUUUUAAAACUUUUUCAAAAUCACUAUUUUAUAACAAAAAUUAUUAAUUAAUCUAAUUAAUUAAUAUAAAUUUAUCGUAC
rnacentral:lncRNA from 1 species